CUUGUUUCCGUACGAUUACCGAAGUUAAGCAACAUUGAACCUAAUCAGUACCUAGAUGGGUAACCGUUUGCGAAUACCAGGCGCUGUAAG